rnacentral:miRNA from 14 species
AGGAACAGCCAUCAUGUAAGACA